rnacentral:lncRNA from 1 species
GAGGGGGCGCUUAUUUAAUUUUUCCCAAAUCGUGGUCAGUUAUGAUCGGUUUCUUUUUGCAAUGUAUGUAUGUGUCACUCCCUCAGAAGUCUCAGAAGGAUCCUGUCUCUCUUGAAGAACUACAUAAUAUAACCCCUUUAGCCGGUCUAGACCUACUGCAUAAGGUUGUUGGGCUUUAGGCGAUAUAUCAGCCGAUCUUUACUGCCAUCCUUUGCGACGGUCAAUGUGCAGUGCUUGAAUGAGUCGGUAACCAUUUACUUAUGAUUGAAAAUGACCAAGAGGCCAUGACCUCAUUUUCUCUUGAAAUGACCAAGGCUGUACAUCCUUUCUUGUCUUAGUACUUUUCCGUAGGGGGAGGGGAAGGGGGCGAUUCUUCGAGGGGAGGCGCUUACUUUAAAUUUUGGCCUAUAGGAGAGGCGCUCAUUUGAAGGGGACGCCUAUUUGGGGGGAGGCGCUAAUUCGAGGAUUUACGGUAUGUCAGUUAUGGUAAAACUACAAUAGGUUGCUAUCUUGAAAGGAAAUAUCAAAAGCGGCAGAUUGACUUGAUGAAUGUACCAUCAAGGGGUUCUCAAAAUUCCAUUAUUUCUACUCAGUUACUGCAGAACGAAGUUUUAACUCUCGCUCCGUCAUCUUAUUACGUUUUAAUGACGUCAUAACGUCGCCAUCUCAGAUCCGUUUCCCGGCAACCUCGUCCCCAGGGCCUUCUCCUGGAGAUUUUCAAAAUGGCGGCUCAGCCGCCCGCCAUUCUGAAAAGACGCGGUUGAGUUUCCCGGUUGAAAGCAUCGUCAUUCUGGACAAAAUGCAAGCUAAGCCAAACAUGAAGGGGUAUCUUGAAGUGUACAUGGAUGGAAUACCUGAGAGGGCAUUGCACUAGCCAGAUACAAAGAUAGAAGAAAAGAAAGAAGAACGACAUCAAAUAUAGACAUUGGAUCCCAUACUCGGCUGCCAUCUCCAGUGUACAUCACCCGGCAUCAGCAUUAACAUGGAGAAAGAAGCAAAGGAAACCAAACUGCGUCAUUUAGAUGUUUCAUCAGUGGAUCAUGUAUCAUAAACGAGGUAGACUUAGAUUUAUCACGAUAGGUUUUCUUGCUACAAGACUGUAUUUCACAAAACUCUAGAGCCCAAAGAAAUUAUCGGAGCUUUUGUGACUAUUUCACGGGUUUAGUAAAAUCUUGUUAGUUUUCGAGCAAGCAGUGGAUUGAAUUACAAGUCCGUCGCUUUGAACGCAAUAUAGCUGAUAUUCGUUUAUCUCGAUUAAUUUUUUGCGAUAAGAUUUUUCAAGCCUGGUAGGCUUGUCAGCUUUUUCACGAAACCCGUUAAACUAAAUUCAGUAAUCUUUAUUAAGUCAAACAACUCAACGAAAUUACUGUAUAAUUGUCUAGAAUCAAUUUCACGAAUUUAAUAAAAUCUUACCUGUUUUCAA